GCCAGGUGUGGUGGUGCACACCUGUUGUCCCAGCUACUGGGAGGCUGAGGCAGGAGAAUCACUUGAACCUGGGAGGCGGAGGUUGCAGUGAGCCGAGAUCACACCACUGCACUUCCAGCCUGGGUGACAGAGCGAGACUCUGUCUCAG
rnacentral:SRP_RNA from 2 species